CGGGACGUGGCGCAGCCUGGUAGCGCGCUUGCUUGGGGUGCAAGAGGUCCGGGGUUCAAAUCCCCGCGUCCCGA
rnacentral:tRNA from 1 species